UUUUUGUUUUUGUAAGAGUUCUUUUAAGG
rnacentral:piRNA from 1 species